GUCACAGUGGAUAGUAGGGGUAUACAUUUCAUACAUAAAUGGUUAUAAAAUAUUGCAUAUUUGACCGGGUCUUGUUCACAGUAUUACAAUAUUUGGUUGUCCUAUUUGUAUCUUGACCUUAAACAUCCAUCAAUUUAUUCUAUAUACAGUGUAUAGUCAUUUGAUCUAGUUAUAAGCAAGAAUCAUACAAUGGAAAACUACUGCAUACAUUGUCUUAUAAUCUAAAAUAGGUUCCCAUUUGGAAUUUAGUCACUUUAUAUAUAUAUACAUGUAAGCAG
rnacentral:lncRNA from 1 species